ACUCAAAUGAAUUGACGGGGCCCCGCACAAGCAGCGGAGCGUGUGGUUUAAUUCGAUGCUACACGAAGAACCUUACCAGGGUUUGACAUGCAAGUGGUAGGAAGCUGAAAAGUGACCGACCCUUCGGGGAGCUUGCACAGGUGCUGCAUGGCUGUCGUCAGCUCGUGUCGUGAGAUGUUCGGUUAAGUCCGCUAACGAGCGCAACCCUCGCUGUGUGUUAUAUGUGUCACACGGGACUGCCGGUCUUAAGCCGGAGGAAGGUGGGGAUGAUGUCAAGUCAGCAUGGCCUUUAUAUCCUGGGCCACACACACGCUACAAUGGCCAGCACAAUAGGUUGCCAAACCGCGAGGUGGAGCCAAUCCAUAAAGCUGGUCUCAGUUCAGAUUGCAGGCUGAAACCCGCCUGCAUGAAGAUGGAGUUGCUAGUAACCGCAGGUCAGCUAUACUGCGGUGAAUACGUUCCCGGGGCUUGUACACACCGCCCGU
rnacentral:rRNA from 1 species